AGCUCCAGCCCUGUCACCACUGAAGCUGCUGCUGAAAGCUGGGAAGCCGAUGUGAUAAGAAUGGGAUUGCUGAUCAGUGGUACUGAAGGUGCAGCAACUGCUCUGGUCAGGGCAGUGACUUCCUGCAGUCUUCCUCUUCACAUUCACAUGUGAAAGAUUCCAAACUAAUUUCAGGAAUGCCUACACAUCACCAAGUGUGCUGGAAGGCAACAUCAAUACAAAGCUGAUGCCAUCAGUGCUGUUUUAUUUGAACACUACUACGACUAGAGAAACGCUCUAACCUGCUAAUUAAGGAAUGGGAACUAAGACAUUUUAGCCAGCUUGUUAUCAAGACACCAUAGUAGACUAUAACAAGACUAUAACAUAUCAAAACAAAACAAAACAAAACAAAACAAAACAAAACUAGUGAUUUGUUGCUUGAAUUAGUUGUACCUGGGCGUCCAUGGCAAUGCUUCUGAGCGACACUGAUCAAGUCUUUCAAAACACAUGGAGAGUAGAAACGUGCAGAGUGAGUUGGAGAGAAAGAAACCCCAGGACCUGUCCUUUGGGUUAUGCUGGAGGUUCUUUCUCCUUUCUUUCCAUGCAUGCAGAAAGCAGCUGAUCUGAUAUGUUCUGCAAAUAGAUACAAAUACAUACAGAAGCACUGGGAACAUCUUGUACACAGAUGUGAGUCAGUACUUGGCAGGUGGCUAGUUGAAGUCAGAUUUCCCAGACAAUAAUUACAUUUUCUUGAAAACAAAACAAAACAAAGCAAAACAAGAAUUAAAGAAACAUGAGAAGAAGGACUAAUUCAAACCUGUCUGGAAUAAGAGCUCUUAUGUUAAAUUCCUUCUUCCUUCCAUGUAGUUGACUCUAUAUCACUUCAGGUGUUCAAAUACGUCUUGUGGGAAGGUCACAGGAAGACCCCAUUAUUAGUAUAGUUGCCCAAGGAGAAGGGCAUGUGCUACACUAUUCAUUCCCUUGUUCACUGUAGGCUGUAGAAAAACAUUUCCACAGCAAGACAACAAAUGCACCUCGAGAGCAUGUUUGAGCAUGAACUCAGGCACAUCUGCUGUUCCUAUGGCAAACAGCAUUCCACUUCCUCUUACCACCAUGAGAGUGUGUUUCAGGCUUAGAGCACGUUUUCUAAUUUCUGCACGAACAUCCAGAUGUUGUCAGAACCACAGAGCUGCAGAAGAAACCAGAGUGACAGACUUGAGCAGAUGCUAUAACCUUGGGACGAUUGUGUGAGAUGAGUACUACUCCAGGUCAGAAUGAUACUUGAGCACUACAGAUGAGAUGAUGCAAAAAAAGGUUUGAAGUAAUAUGCACUACAACACGUCAUCUAUCAGAAAGAGGGAGCAUACCUGAAGCUAUCAGUAGUGCAAAAUUUAUGAGAUGCAAAGUCCUCUCCAUGCUAAAAAAAGGUGUGAAGAGACUAAUGAAAAUUUAAGUGGAGAACUGAACAAAGAACUAAGAGCUGAGGAAAGUGGAAACUUCUCAUGACUGGUGAUAUUAUAUGCCAUGAAAGAUUGGUCUGAGAGUCUGGAGUUGACUGCCUUUGUAUAUAUUCUUCCAUUACACAAGAAAUUGUUUUUGAAUGCAAUCAAAACAUUGACCCUGGAUCCUAUCGCAGUUGACAGCGGUGUUAAGAGCUCUCUGUAAGCCAGCUGAGCAAAAAUAAUGAGACACCAGUGAAAGCUCAAAGCCAGGCCUCUUGCUUCUGACAGGCAAAUCCAGCAAAAAGAUUCUUCAGAUCUUGUCUUUCUCUGGUUCUAACUUUGAUGAGUUAACAUGUUAUUCGAGAUAUUUUAAAGUACUUUAAUUAAAUAAAUACUACAUUUUCAAAUGCCAAGUAGAUUCUUAUGUAAAAUACUUAGGAAGUUUUGGAAUAGAAGUUUCUGAAUGCAGGACCUAAUUUUACUUUUUCAGUGUCGGUAAAGAGAUCAGCUGUAUGCACAGCUACUACAGUCAUUAGUAUUGCUAUUAACCUACAGUUAUACAAUGGAGAAACAUCUUGAGAAAAGACAACUGCAUGACUCAACAUAGAGAAGAAAUCUUAAGACUGGAAGGCCUUAUGAUACCAAAUUCUAGCAUGAGCAAUAUCAUCCUCCAAGUAUUAGCAGGCCUUCCUGGGUGAGAUGUAAGACAGAUAUACAAAAAAAUGUCAGGAGCCUGGGAAGGCUGUUUUUAUUCCUUCUGAGAAUAAGGGCAUAAGCCCAACUGUGCGAUUUGAUGCUAUCCUGAACCAUUAUUAUUCUCUGAGUCUCAUUAAAAGAAAACAAAACAAAACAAAACCCUGCCUUUGUCUCAGGUCACUCCAGAACAUUUGCCCUCCUCUGUUAUUUAUCCAGGCAGGAAAUGUUUUUCUUCUUUUAAAAUGAGCAAUGCAAGGAUAUUGUGGAGAAUGCAUGUAGUGCAAUAUGCUAUCAGCACCCUCCAGUUGUUUAUCAUGGCCAUUUUCAACCCGAACGGGGACACUAAGUUCUCUUGGAUUCUCACUGUGCUGGCAAGGACUUCUGUGUGUGACAAAACAAACAAAAAACAAAAAACCACACACUUCCUGAUAAGUUUCAGAAGACAGUUUUUCUCAGCCUUAUCUCACAGCUUCAUUCCACUACUGAAAAGAAGUUCAGUUUACAGAAGAUUUGCUUUUCAUUGUAUAUUUGUCAGUGAUAACUGUAUGCUUUUGCCUUCCCACAUGAUUUGCUUCUCUCUUGAGGAGAUAAGGACUGUCUCUCUUUGCCCUGUGAAUGGAUGUGGCCUAUGUCUAAGGUCACUUCAAAAACAACACAACUGCAGUCGUGCCUACGGGCCUUUUCUAUAAAAAUGCAUUGUUCUGCUGGAGGCAGGGGGCUGGGUAGGGUUAUGGCAUGCCAGGGAUACACAGGAAUGCAAGGCUACUUCAUAAGCACAAUUUCCAAUCUCAGUAUGUUUCUCCACAACAAUGUUGUGUUAUGAAAUUAGCAUGUGGGUUGUUCUUGGUUUUUUUCUUUUUCUUCUGAAAAAGCUGUGUUCUGAAGGUCAACCACAGUGGCACUUACUUGGGGAGGGCUUCUGUCUCAAGUCAAGAGACCAAGACAAAGGCAAGGGGAAGCCUCAUUUUUGGUCACGGGCACAGGAGAAACAGCAGUGAAACACAGUUCCUCAGCCAUUUUUCUAGAGAAAGCAAUUUUCAGGAUAUUCAAGGCUCAAUGGUGUUAGCCAUUUGGUUAUUUUAUUCCUCUGCUUGUCCCAAUUCUUCUGUGCAUAUUUUCCAUAUGUCUGCAACAAAUAGUAUUUUAAUUGCACCCUGAAGAGAAAACAAAGCUCAUUUUCCAACUGCAGAUGCCAGCUGAAGCAUACAGAGCUUGCUUGCUUUCUAAAACAUCCUCUC